rnacentral:rRNA from 1 species
AGCGAACGCUGGCGGCAGGCCUAACACAUGCAAGUCGAACGGAUCCUUCGGGAUUAGUGGCGGACGGGUGAGUAACACGUGGGAACGUGCCCUUUGGUUCGGAACAACUCAGGGAAACUUGAGCUAAUACCGGAUGUGCCCUUCGGGGGAAAGAUUUAUCGCCAUUGGAGCGGCCCGCGUCUGAUUAGCUAGUUGGUGAGGUAACGGCCCACCAAGGCGACGAUCAGUAGCUGGACUGAGAGGAUGAUCAGCCACACUGGGACUGAGACACGGCCCAGACUCCUACGGGAGGCAGCAGUGGGGAAUCUUGCGCAAUGGGCGAAAGCCUGACGCAGCCAUGCCGCGUGAAUGAUGAAGGUCUUAGGAUUGUAAAAUUCUUUCAGCGGGGACGAUAAUGACGGUACCCGCAGAAGAAGCUCCGGCUAACUUCGUG